CCCCUUUUUUCUAAUUCCUAACCCUACCUUCUCUUCAUCCAAGCCAACAAAGCAACGAAGCAGCAGGCACACAACCAGAGCAGAGCACAGGGACGGAGCAGCAGCAAGCACAGAUUUGUAGAUGGGUCGAGCUAAACAAAGAAUGAAACUCAUAAGAAACGAAAAGGCUCGCUAUGCAACCUAUCAAAAGAGAAAGAAGGGCUUAAAGAAGAAGACUUGUGAACUACAAACUCUAUGUGAUGUCCAAGUCUGCCUGAUCAUCUGUGGGCCUAAGUUAGAUGAUAAUUCCACAGAGGUAGAAAUCUGGCCCCAAAAUCCCAAUGAUAUUCAACGCUUGAUUGACACCUAUAGAAACCAAUCUAUUGAAGAUCGUCAUAGGAGGACGCUUGAUUUAUCGAACUUUUUUGAGAACCGAAACCAAGAGAUUGAAGACGCGCUAGUCAAACUACGCAAGAAGAAUGACAAGGUUUUGUAUUCUACGUGGGAUGAUCGUUACAAUGACUUGCCGGAGGGGCAGUUGAGAGCCUUUGAAGGUAUGUUGGAGGGUAAGCUUGCAGAUGUGAAAGCCAGGGUUGAAUUCAUGAAGGGAACUCAAGCAUUGGCAAGUCUUAAUGAUAUGGAACAAACAACUCAACAAAACCAUUCAAAUUAUUCAUGCAAGGUCCAAUGAUGAUGCCAAUGAACAACAUUAACGACACUCAUUACACUCAACUUGGCGGUAUGUCUAGCAGCAACUUGCAGUGCAUUGAUCCACUAGAGAACUCGAUAUAUUAUGAUCCAAUAAUGUUGUUGCCCUCCACAGAGUCUGUUUUAACAGGAGUCUCGUGCACUGAGUCGUCCUUUUCCAUGUCUAGGAUGAUGGAGAACGAGGUUGGUAAAAAUCAUCAUCCUUCACCCUCUAUGGCUUACUAUGGCGGUUCAAGUAUGCAGACAAUGUCACCAUAUAUGCAGUACCUGAAGAUGGCAAGUGGUCCUUCUCAAGUUCAUGCAUGGCAGAUGGAGGAGUACUAUAAAGCCAAUGAGUUUCAAAUGAAGAACGAGAAGUGAAUUCAAUUCAGGUUUAAGUUAUGGAUUCUAAUGGUACAUUUGGUAGUAGAAACUGAUUAAUUAGUGUGGAAAGGGAAGUACCCAAUUUUACUUUAUUUUAUUUUAUUUUUAAAUUUAAUGUUUUAAUAGCUUAGGUCUCCUUAAGUUUAAUUAAUGACUAUUUAUAUGCACUCAUUAACCUUUUAAGUAGGGUUCUAAAUUCUAAUUGGUGAAGUAGCAUUUAUAUAUAAUUAAACUAAAUUGCAUACA